AACACUGGCCAUAGCGGGUGAUAGCCCCGUACACGAAAAACUGCAUGAGAUGAAAUCGAGUAAGGCGAGGCACGUGAAACCUUGUCUGAAUAUGGGGGGACCAUCCUCCAAGGCUAAAUACUCGUAAUCGACCGAUAGUGAACAAGUACCGUGAGGGAAAGGCGAAAAGAACCCCGGGAGGGGAGUGAAAUAGAUCCUGAAACCGCAUGCAUACAAGCAGUGGGAGCCGACUUGUUCGGUGACUGCGUACCUUUUGUAUAA
rnacentral:rRNA from 1 species